UCGAGCGGUAAGGCCUUUCGGGGUACACGAGCGGCGAACGGGUGAGUAACACGUGGGUGAUCUGCCCUGCACUUCGGGAUAAGCCUGGGAAACUGGGUCUAAUACCGGAUAUGACCUCAGGUUGCAUGACUUGGGGUGGAAAGAUUUAUCGGUGCAGGAUGGGCCCGCGGCCUAUCAGCUUGUUGGUGGGGUAAUGGCCUACCAAGGCGACGACGGGUAGCCGACCUGAGAGGGUGACCGGCCACACUGGGACUGAGACACGGCCCAGACUCCUACGGGAGGCAGCAGUGGGGAAUAUUGCACAAUGGGCGAAAGCCUGAUGCAGCGACGCCGCGUGAGGGAUGACGGCCUUCGGGUUGUAAACCUCUUUCAGCAGGGACGAAGCGCAAGUGACGGUACCUGCAGAAGAAGCACCGGCUAACUACGUGCCAGCAGCCGCGGUAAUACGUAGGGUGCAAGCGUUGUCCGGAAUUACUGGGCGUAAAGAGUUCGUAGGCGGUUUGUCGCGUCGUUUGUGAAAACCAGCAGCUCAACUGCUGGCUUGCAGGCGAUACGGGCAGACUUGAGUACUGCAGGGGAGACUGGAAUUCCUGGUGUAGCGGUGAAAUGCGCAGAUAUCAGGAGGAACACCGGUGGCGAAGGCGGGUCUCUGGGCAGUAACUGACGCUGAGGAACGAAAGCGUGGGUAGCGAACAGGAUUAGAUACCCUGGUAGUCCACGCCGUAAACGGUGGGCGCUAGGUGUGGGUUCCUUCCACGGAAUCCGUGCCGUAGCUAACGCAUUAAGC
rnacentral:rRNA from 1 species